rnacentral:rRNA from 1 species
UACGGAGGGUGCGAGCGUUGUCCGGAAUCAUUGGGCGUAAAGGGCGCGUAGGUGGCCCGGUCAGUUCGUGGUGAAAGCGCGGGGCUCAACCCUGCGUCGGCCAUGAAUACUGCCGCGGCUGGAGCACUGUAGAGGCAGGCGGAAUUCCGGGUGUAGCGGUGGAAUGCGUAGAGAUCCGGAAGAACACCGGUGGCGAAGGCGGCCUGCUGGGCAGUUGCUGACACUGAGGCGCGACAGCGUGGGGAGCAGACAGG